GAAUCAAAUGCUCAAACAGACAUCGCAAAUGAUAAAUCAAAUGCAAAUGAGGUGUCAAUCAACCAGCAUAGGCGGAGCUUUAAGGCGGAAGAGUUUGUUGUUGACAACAACCGGUAGCGCUACGACUUUUUCAAGGCGUUCAGAUUUGCGUGCACUAUUCCAUGUCGUAUCCGUAUAAACUCGUGAAAGAGAAAGCGAGAAAUCUCCUACUGCUUCUGUCCACAUUCUGAAGUGUUCAUCAGAUGGGUACAUCUAUCACAGGAGGCCACGAAAAACCAUACGGCAAGAUGAUGAUGCUACGUCACAAUGUGGAAAACUGGAUGGAUUUAGACAUCUUACAUGUAAGUAAUUAAAUCCAGAAAGACGGUUCCUUGAGUUAAGUUACAGUAAAAUAGCGAUAGUUGAGCUACUGUACAGUGAACUGUAGAAUUACUGAAAGUGUAAAGAUUUACAGUAUAUUUAUUUUAUCUUGCUGUAAAUUAUCACGUAGGAACUUCUGUAAGCACAUAACGUUACGUUUCAAACGUUACAUAAAGACGAUUAUUCAAUGUCUGACAGAAAAAUAUAGGAGGUAUUGCAGAUUAGCAAAUUAUAACAUUAAACAGACGUCUGAGUGAUUUGUUUGUGCUGAUGUAGAAUGCACUUUUGUCAAUACAGCUUAGGUGAGAUACAUGUAAUAUUAAUACAGUAAUGUUUUCUUCUGUUCAGUUGGUGAUACAUUUAUGAAAGUAUAAUUUGAGCACACAAAUCACAGAGGUAACGUGACUUGUCUGGUUGUGAUAGAGAAGGAAGCACACAUGUUUGUGUGUUAGCUGAUGCAGAGUGACUGAACAAAUGCUACCAUCAUAUUUGUUUAACAAAAUAUUGUUGUUUCAAACCGCUAUUACAACAAUUUCUUUAAUGUUGAUUUAUAUGCCAUUUCUGGGCUGGAGCAGGACUUGCAAGGCAAGAAAACAGAGAAAACCUGAAUUCAAAACAUGAAACUGGUGUGUGCAGUGAUGAUGAUGAAGAACAGCAGUGUGCUGAUGAAGGAAAUGUUGAAGAUGCUGUAGUGCCAUGGACAAGACCCUGCAUCCCUCCACCUGCCUGCGUGUCCUCAUCUGAGCCAGAUACUGGUGUGGUCUCUUCAUCUUCAGUAUGAAUCGGUUUCUCAGGCAUGGACAGCCUCACCUCACAACUCUGUUCCAGUCUGACUGCAGCACUGAGGGAUGUGAUGGCAAAAACAAGUGAAGUCCAGCAUGCAGCAGAACAUGGGGUUUUGUCUGAAAUACAUGAUUGUUUGAAUAAGUUUGAAUAAAGCUUAGUUUCGUAU